rnacentral:rRNA from 1 species
AUUGACCGCUGGCGGCAGGCCUAACACCUGCAAGUCGCACGAAUGGCGGACGGGUGAGUAAUGUCUGGGAAACGGCCCGACGGAGGGGGUUAACUACUGGAAACGGUAGUUAAUACCGCAUACCAUCGGAUGUGCCCAGAUGGGCUUAGCUAGUAGGUGGGUUAACGGCUCACCUAGGCGACGAUCCCUAGCUGGUCUGAGAGGAUGACCGGCCACACUGGAACUGAGACACGGUCCAGACUCCUACGGGAGGCAGCAGUGGGGAAUAUUGCACAAUGGGCGCAAGCCUGAUACAGCCAUGCCGCGUGUGUGAAGAAGGCCUUCGGGUUGUAAAGUACUUUCAGCGAGGAGGCGUUACUCGCAGAGGAAGCACCGGCUAACUCCGUGCCAGCAGCCGCGGUAAUAC